AUGAACGCUGGCGGUCUGCUUAACACAUGCAAGUCGAACGAACUCCUUCGGGAGGAAGUGGCGGACGGGUGAGUAACGCGUAAGAAUCUAGCUUUGGGUCGGGGAAAACAGUGGGAAACUGCUGCUAAUACCGGAUGAGCCGAGAGGUAAAAGGAGAAAUCCGCCAAAAGAUGAGCUUGCGUCCGAUUAGCUAGUUGGGGGUGUAAGAGACUCCCAAGGCGACGAUCGGUAGCUGGUCUGAGAGGACGAUCAGCCACACUGGGACUGAGACACGGCCCAGACUCCUACGGGAGGCAGCAGUGGGGAAUUUUCCGCAAUGGGCGAAAGCCUGACGGAGCAAGACCGCGUGGGGGAGGAAGGUUCUUGGAUUGUAAACCCCUUUUCUCAGGGAAGAAGCACUGACGGUACCUGAGGAAGAAGCCUCGGCUAACUCCGUGCCAGCCGCCGCCGUAACAC
rnacentral:rRNA from 1 species